AUACGUAGGUGACAAGCGUUAUCCGGAUUUACUGGGUGUAAAGGGCGUGUAGCCGGGAAGGCAAGUCAGAUGUGAAAUCUGGAGGCUCAACCUCCAAACUGCAUUUGAAACUGCUUUUCUUGAGUAUCGGAGAGGUAAUCGGAAUUCCUUGUGUAGCGGUGAAAUGCGUAGAUAUAAGGAAGAACACCAGUGGCGAAGGCGGAUUACUGGACGACAACUGACGGUGAGGCGCGAAAGCGUGGGGAGCAAACAGGAUUAGAUACCCUGGUAGUCCACGCUGUAAACGAUCAAUACUAGGUGUGCGGGGACUGACCCCCUGCGUGCCGCAGUUAACACAAUAAGUAUUGCACCUGGGGAGUACGAUCGCAAGGUUGAAACUCAAAGGAAUUGACGGGG
rnacentral:rRNA from 1 species